GCCUCUAGGAACGGUUUCUGCAAACCUCUAUUCUGAGAUUGCCCAUAUUGAUGAGUAUGCUAAGGUUUGGCGAAGGGGGCAUUAGCUGAGUAGUUGUUGCAUCUGGGAGGAGCUGAAGAAGACGCUGGUGUCACAGGGUUGCUUUCAUACAUAUUUGGAAUAACCAGGACAGACUGGAAAGAAUGAAUAAAAACAAGCAAUAUGGUUACUACAAUCCUAUGCAAUUUCCCCUGGUACCAU
rnacentral:lncRNA from 1 species